rnacentral:lncRNA from 1 species
AAAAUUAAGAAAUAAUGAAAAAAAUAAUAACAUGACGCUGUUUUUUAACCAAUAACAUAACGUAUGUUGCUGCUCAUUUACCAAGAUGUUACAAAAUGUAUCAAUUGAUCCUGGCUAUAUAGCGUAUCGUCACAGUUUUACCAAGCUGUUCCUGCAUGGCCUCAAAAUGUUCUAUUGGACAACCUACCAUGACAUUACCAACUUCAGUUCAAAAUUAAUUAGUAUUAAAUCCAAC